CAAGGAAAAAAGAUGUGAGACAGCAGACUCUUGCUGAACAUGCUGCACAUCUACAAGAGCAUCUGCAGUACCCACUUUUGCCGAGCUGUUUCAAGUACUCAUGUGUGAAGAUUGGCUCCAAAUGACAGGUUGCCCUGCUCGGCUUCUGGUAAAGAAAUAUAGACGUGGGACUAUCUCGAGAGUAGUAGACUCCAUAACUCAAAAGAUUCUAGCACCUGCAGUAAUUUGCUCCUAAGAAGGCCGCACCUCCUUGGCAAGGGACUAGUAUAUGGACUGGGCACAGAUCAAACAAGGAAGGGGUAUCAAACCAACACAGACCGCCAGAGUGUUAAGACUGAAGGUGAAGCAAAGUAAGACCCAUGGACAAGGUAUAUCUCAGAUUGGUUAUUGGGAGUUGAGUUCCCAAUUCAGUGAUCUAUUGCUGGAUUUGACAGUUCUGGAUCGACAGUAAAGUUAUAAAAUUAGGUGAUUAUGCCCUCUGUGAGAUUCUUAAGUCAUAUGUCCUUUGUGAACGGGGGUUUAGAUCAGAGUGGUG